AUAAAAAACCAAUGCCCUUCGGGGCUCCUUGGUGAUUCAUGAUAACUUAACGAAUCGCAUGGCCUUGUGCCGGCGAUGGUUCAUUCAAAUUUCUGCCCUAUCAACUUUCGAUGGUAGGAUAGUGGCCUACCAUGGUUUCAACGGGUAACGGGGAAUUAGGGUUCUAUUCCGGAGAGGGAGCCUGAGAAACGGCUACCACAUCCAAGGAAGGCAGCAGGCGCGCAAAUUACCCAAUCCCGACACGGGGAGGUAGUGACAAUAAAUACUGAUACAGGGCUCUUUUGGGUCUUGUAAUUGGAAUGAGUACAAUUUAAAUCCCUUAACGAGGAACAAUUGGAGGGCAAGUCUGGUGCCAGCAGCCGCGGUAAUUCCAGCUCCAAUAGCGUAUAUUAAGUUGUUGCAGUUAAAAAGCUCGUAGUUGAACCUUGGGCCUGGCUGGCCGGUCCGCCUCACCGCGUGCACUGGUCCGGCCGGGCCUUUCCUCCUGGGGAGCCGCAUGCCCUUCACUGGGUGUGUC
rnacentral:rRNA from 1 species